AUAUCAAUAAGCGGAGGAAAAGAAACUAACAAGGAUUCCCCUAGUAACUGCGAGUGAAGCGGGAAAAGCUCAAAUUUGAAAUCUGGCGGCUCCGUCGCCCGAGUUGUAUUCUGGAGAAGCGUCUUCCGCGUCGGACCGUGUACAAGUGCCUUGGAACAGGACGUCAUAGAGGGUGAGAAUCCCGUCUUUGACACGGACGCCCGAUGCUCUGUGAUGCGCUCUCGAAGAGUCGAGUUGUUUGGGAAUGCAGCUCAAAACGGGUGGUAAAUUCCAUCUAAAGCUAAAUAUUGGCGAGAGACCGAUAGCGAACAAGUACCGUGAGGGAAAGAUGAAAAGCACUUUGGAAAGAGAGUAAAACAGUAC
rnacentral:rRNA from 1 species